rnacentral:rRNA from 1 species
UAGGGAAUCUUCCACAAUGGACGAAAGUCUGAUGGAGCAACGCCGCGUGAGUGAAGAAGGUUUUCGGAUCGUAAAGCUCUGUUGUUGGUGAAGAAGGAUAGAGGCAGUAACUGGCCUUUAUUUGACGGUAAUCAACCAGAAAGUCACGGCUAACUACGUGCCA